rnacentral:rRNA from 1 species
UACGUAUGGUGCGAGCGUUGUCCGGAAUUAUUGGGCGUAAAGAGCUUGUAGGUGGUUUGUCGCGUCUGCUGUGAAAAUCCGAGGCUCAACCUCGGACUUGCAGUGGGUACGGGCAGACUAGAGUGUGGUAGGGGAGACUGGAAUUCCUGGUGUAGCGGUGGAAUGCGCAGAUAUCAGGAGGAACACCGAUGGCGAAGGCGGAUCUCUGGGCCGAUACUGACGCUGAGGAGCGAAAGCGUGGGGAGCGAACAGG